UCAUCUAGGAUUUUGUUUUCUAGCUUUCUUGGAGAUGAGAAUAAAAUGUUGUGGAUUGUGUUCUUGCAUACUGUUUUUUUUUUUUGUAAUUCUUGUGGAAACCACAGCACACUGUCGUUAUCUAAUCAGAUUAUGUGCAUUUUCCAUAUAAAUGUUCUACUUGCCUCUUAUGUGGCCCUGUUUAAAUUCAGUUUUUCUGUUUCUGAGAGCACAAUUUUGUUUCAUGCUUGCGACUGGAAAUAGAAAGAGAACCCAAAUUUGUGUUGUUUAAUUGUGUGCACAACACAAUGUUUAUUUGAAAUGAUGCUUUAAUUUGGAUUUAUGGGGCACAUCUGCAUGGCAUUUUAAUUAGGAAUAUUGAAUGUUAUUUCCCUGUGGAGCAGAAUUAGCAGAUGGAGUGGCAAGUUCUCAUCUUGUGAUGGUGACGAUGAGUACCAGAAGUUUGGGGAACACUGCAUCGUACAAUUCGCGGAACAAUCCAUUUUAUACAUCUUUGAAUGACAGUCAAUUUUGUCAAUCUUACCUAUAGAGUGCCAUAGUCCAUGGGAGAUCACAGCGAGUACGUGUACUGGUUGCUCGAGAUCGAGGAAGAUGAGCAGAGAAUUGGCAUUCUUUAUGGAGGCAAACAGCCGCCGAGAGGUUAGUUCUUGCUAUCCAUCUUUUGGAUUAGCAACAUGUGUGUUGAUUAACUUGGGUAUGAUUUUGAUUAGUUAAGUAAGAAGAUCAUAUUAGCCUUUGCACUGUGAUUUUGGACAUCAAGUGCAUCAUUAGAGUUGUGCUCUUCAAACUGCUAUUAUGCACUAUCAAUUUAAUGGUUUUUAGUUAUUGAUAAAACCUUAAAUUUCCCACUGGGAGUGUGCACUAUCCAUUAUUUCCAUUAGUGAUUUUACUUUAAAUAUCCCAUACCACUGUGUUGUAAGGUCAGUGCAGAUAGUGGUGUUUAUCUCUGCAUUGUUACGUCCUAAGUUUCCAGUGAACAUCACCUUAAAUCAGUGGAAAUAUUUUCUUUAUUUGACAAGGUAAGGUUAAUCCUCUAAUUAAAUGUUGCAUUUGUCCCAAAGAGAUGAGCAGAAUAAUUAUAUAUUACAAUACCAAUGUGUGCAGAGAGAUGUUUACAUUAGCAUAGAAAAAUAUGAAAAAGAGGGUGGAGGGAGAACAGAGCUAUUCCAGGGACUGCAGCUAGGAUUCGAAAGGGCCUGUAAGUUCCUAUUUCAUCCUAAAAGAUUGGAGAUAUGGGUCCCUUCUAAACAAAAAAAGUAGGUGACCAAGAUAGUGCGUUGUUGUCUACAAAAGUAAGGCAUAGGCAUAAACAAGUUGAUAAUGAGAUAGCAUGGUAGUUGUUGACGUAUUACGUGUUGAUACUUUAUGUUUAUUUUUGUUGCAGUAUCAACAAUCCCUCACAUCAUGUAGAAAAAAGAUCCCAUCAUAUUCUUUGUUUGCUUCCUGUGAAAUAGAGUACUAUACUUAGGUGUUACCGAAAUUCUAAUAUUGUACUCUACUUAGUAAAAUUAACUUAGUAUUGGUUCUUUGUGUAUUUCACACAGCGUCCUCUGCAACUCAAAUUCAGGCAAUACAUUUGUCGUGUCAAGUUAUAUUGGAAGAGGUGGUAGAGCAUCUAGGAGGGCUGCCACCCAUUUACAAUUCGAGCCAACGAUACGGAGAAUGGCAAGCGUGCACGGCUGCGCGUAUACCCAAUCUUAUUGAAUCGUAUUGAACCUGGCAGAUUAGAUGAAGCAUCUAUAUAUAGCCAGAGACCUUCAACCACUCCUAAAGCUGCUGAAGAGAAAACAACAGAGAGCCUCAUAGCUUCUUUGUGCAGCAAAAAGGAAUUUGAGAUCAAUGAUAUACACGCUACAUGUACAGCAACAUGACAUAGUUGCAUCUGCAAGAAAAUAGAUCCUCAAAGGAAAGGGAAAAUGUGACGAUGAGUACCAGAACUAUAUCACACCAAUGGUGCCGACGUACCUCCCUCAUACGCGGUCUCCGACAUCAUCUUGCACUAUCUCAAGCAGUGUUGCUAGGAAGGAGCUGAAUGGAAGUGAAUUAGCUUUUCACUUCUUGCCGUGUAUUGCUACUAUGAUUUUCACCUUUUUGCUAGCUGUUGGUUGGUCUGUAAAGUAUAUAUACUCUCUUUCCAUCAACAACACAACAUGAACCAUAUAGAACCAUUGAUUCACUUGGCCCAAGCCAUUAUAUAUAUCAUACCUUUGGAGCAUUUCAUUCCAUGAUAACAUGUAUGAAUCAUACAUAGAGCUAACGAUUAGUCCUGUUGUUACUUCAGUUAGACUGAAGCUAUUACCAGGGCAAUACUAUGUAAGAUAAGUAAGUGACUUGUACACAUCAAGCCAGCCGAUCGUAAUAAACCACGUAUAAAUUAAAUUAAGUACUUAACUCAUGAAUGAAGAACGGGCGCAAAUUAAAUUAAGUACUUAACUCAUGAAUGAAGAACGGGCGCGGCAAGGCGCGCGUCAUGCUCUAGUAAGUUAGAUACACCCAAGAUUGGACAUGACUAAGUAUUUUACGAGAAGGUACAAACUCAGGGCAUUUUGUAUAGCCGAGAUAUGUUUUCUCACAAGAUAUUUUUAUCCUUUUUGUAGAUCUAACCUCCUAUUUGUUCCAUUCUAUUCUUCCCUUCUACUUUAAUCAUAGAAAAAAAAAGCAGAGCUCCCGCUGUUAAACCACACUCAUGUACAUUUGUGUAACAGUCUGAUGUAACUAAGUCUAGUCCUAGAUUGUAGGAUCCACUAACGCUCAUGGCCUGCGUGCCUUGUUUCUAGCAAUGUUAGCUCACUCCCUGCGGGGAUAUAUGCUGUACUUUGUAAUAUUGUUGGGCAGUGAAUACAAUUGAGCUCUCCAACUUGGUAUCAGACACCAGGCGCAUCAUGGCCACCAACUCCUCCUCCAACGCCACCACGAGCUCCGCCACCUCCCCCGGAUCCCUUUCUUCCUCCUCGACAGCGCCUGCUACGGCCACCGCGCCGGCCCCCUUCCUCUUCGGCACCUCUCCCUCUCUUCUCAGCGGCUCUUCCCCCGCCGACUCGGGCUCUCAAUUCGCCCCUCUGUUCACCUCCGGCGUCACCACCGCCCUGCCGGCACCCGCCCCGCGCCUCCCUAUCUUCCAAGAUCACAUCACCAACCACAUAAAAUUCCUUCUUAACCCCGCCGAUCACAACUAUCACAAAUGGAAGACUUUCUUCCUCAUGGUUCUCGUCCGAUACGACGUCUCCUUCCUCAUCGACCAGCCGCCGCCACCCAACGCCUCCUCCACCUACCUCGAGCUCGACGCUCACGUCGUCCUAUGGAUCUAUGCCACCCUCUCGGACACCAUGUGUGAUCAUGUCGUCGGCGCCACCACCACCUUCGCCCUCUGGCACAAGAUCCGUGACUACUUUCUCGCCAAUCGUGCCGCCCGCUUCAUGAUUCUCAAUCGCCAGUACCGCAAUCUCAAGCAGGGUGAUCUCUCGGUCUCCGAAUACGCUCGCCGAAUGAAGCUCCUUACCGAUGACCUCGCCGAUAUCGAUCGCGCCGUCACCGAGGUGGAUCUCACCACCCAGUUUCUCCACGGCCUCGACAAGCGCCUCGACACGAUCCGGGUCGUGCUUGGCAAUCAGGAUCUCCCCUUCGACACCGUCCUUUCCUGCGUCGUCCUGGCUGAGGAGUCACAGGAGCAGCGCGCAGCUGAGGAGAGCGCCUCUGCCUUCGCCUUGCCUGGCGGCGGCGCCUCUGGUGCCGGCUCUAGCACUGGGGGCCGUACCCCGAGCGAUCGUGUGGAUCGCCCCCCUGCCGGUGCGCAGGAUGCUCCCCCACCGCCACCGCAUCCUGGUCGUGGGCGUGGCGACCGCGAUGGUGGUGAUCGCGGUGACCGUGGCGAUCGUGGAGGCCGCAGACGCGGUCGUGGGCGUGGCGACCACAACGGCCGUGGUCAUCCCUCCCCACAUCUGGCGUCGCCCUUCACCGGCUACUUCGCACCCUACGGGAUGGCCCUUCCCUCACCGCGCUCUGGCUGGAUCCUCCCGAACGCCGCCGACGUGCUCGGUCCGCGCCCCGGGUCGCAUGCGCAGGCUUACCCGCUGUUGCCUGCCCCGACGCCACACGCUCCGUUCUAUCCGCCUGCUCCAUCGUCAUGGGAACAUGCUGCUAUGCUCAAUGCCGCCUACAGCAAUGGUGGCUUCCCGGCCGCCGCCGCCCCCGAGUGGUACUUCGACAGUGGUGCUUCCUCCCACGUGACCGGCAACCCAGGCAUCCUUUCCAAGUCUAGUUAUUCUUUAAAGCAUGUCCCAUCUAGCAUACUUGUCGGCAAUGGCCACCACUUACCUGUCACCGCCACUGGUUCUGUUACACUUUCACCUCAUGAUUUUCGCCUCACCGACGUUCUUGUCUCUCCCAAUGUUGUCACCAGUUUAAUUUCUGUUCGCCGUUUUACUAAAGACAAUUCUUGCUCCAUUGAGUUUUACCCUUACGGUUUUCUUGUGAAGGAUCUUCGCACUCGGAGGGUUCUCAUGAUCUCCGUUAGCAACGGCGACCUCUAUCCUUUCCACGGCAACAACUACACUCCACCGCCGGCGCUCACCGUCUCCCCGUCGGACUUGUGGCAUCGGCGCCUUGGGCACCCCGGAGCUCACUCCUUGUCUACAUUAGCCAACGACUUCAUUAGCUCAUGUAAUAAAAGUGCUCACCCUCCAUGUAAUGCUUGUCAGCUCGGACGCCAAGCACGUCUCCCUUUUUCUUCUUCCUUUAGUAAAACAUUUGCACCUUUUGAUUUAAUACAUUGUGAUUUGUGGACCUCUCCCGUUGUAAGCUUCUCUGGUUUUCAAUAUUAUCUCGUGGUGCUUGAUGAUUUCACACACUACUCUUGGACAUUUCCCCUACAAAACAAAUCGGACACCUCUUCUACCUUACAACGCUUCUUCACGUUCAUCCACACACAAUACAAUGUCAUCAUCAAAGCAAUGCAAUGUGACAACGGCGGCGAGUUCAUCAAUUCCUCCCUCCGCUCCUUCUUCUCUAACAACGGCAUAGCAUGUUGGUUCUCCUGCCCACACACCUCUCCCCAAAAUGGCAAGGUCGAACGUCUCAUUCGAACUACAAAUGAUGUCAUUUGUUCACUCCUUUUUCAAGCAUGUCUUACCCCCCAUUCUGGGUUGAGGCCCUCCACACCGCCACCUAUCUCCUAAAUCGCCGUCCCUCCCGUGCCAUCCACGAUCACACACCCUACUACCUGGUUCAUGGGACACAUCCCACUUAUGAUCAUCUUCGUGUAUUUGGGUGCUUAUGCUUCCCCAACACAUCCGCCACCAUGCCUCAUAAACUCUCCCCUCGCUCGACCCGGUGCAUCUUCUUAGGCUAUCCGCUCGAACAUAAGGGGUACCGGUGCUAUGAUUUAUCCACGCGCCGUGUCAUUGUCUCUAGGCAUGUUGUUUUUGACGAAACUACAUUUCCCUACGAACCGGCCACACCACCAGCUACACAACCCCCCUCCGCACCUGAUCCGCUAGCUGCGAACCAAUCCCCACCAGAUCCCUCGGAUCUGCCGCCCCCGCCUACGUCGUACUGGCCACCCCACCCACCCACUCCAGCGCCACGCGCUUCUCCCGCAUGCAACCAAUCCCCAGCCGGCCCCGCCCCCACUACCGGUCAACUGCGUACCAGCCCGCACGGAUCCCACAGCCCGACCGCAUCUUCCUCGCCUGCUGCACCCGCCUCUCCACCACUUAAUCCACCCGCACCCCCCUCGCCUUCCGCGCCUGUCGCCCCUGCCCCACCUGCCGUAGAUUCCUCCUGCCGUGUCGCCAGCCCCACCACAUCUACCUUGGGAUCCGAGGCAUGCACGCCCACUCCUCCUCCACCACGUCUGCCCCGCCAUGCACAGCCGGCUGAACCCCCACGUAACUCGCACCAAAUGACCACCAGGGCUAAACGAGGGUAUUGCAUGCCCCGACGACUUUUUCUCGCUGAUUCUACUUCCACAUCCCUCCCCCCUCUCCCUCCCACGUACAAGUCUGCACUAAAAGACCCAAAUUGGCGGCAAGCAAUGCAAGAUGAGUACCAUGCUUUAAUCCAUAACUCCACUUGGUCUUUGGUGCCUAAGCCUGCAGGUGUAAACGUUGUCAUGGGGAAGUGGAUCUUUCGCCACAAGUUCAACACGGAUGGCUCCUUGGCUCGUUAUAAAGCUCGGUGGGUUGUCCGGGGAUUUACUCAACAAGAGGGUGUGGACUACGACGAGACCUUCAGUCCGGUUGUCAAGCCGGCCACAAUUCGUGUUGUGCUCAGCCUUACCACCUCUCACUCGUGGCCCAUUCAUCAACUGGAUGUCAAGAAUGCAUUUCUUCAUGGUGAUCUCAAGGAAACAGUGUACUGCUCUCAACCGGCCGGUUUUGUUGAUGCAUCUCACCCGGAUCAUGUGUGCCUUCUCAACAAGUCACUCUAUGGCUUGAAACAAGCCCCUUGGACGUGGUUCCUCUGGUUCAAGAACUUCUUGCCCUCCAUUGGGGUUUGUGCCUCCAAGAGUGAUUCCUCUUUGUUCAUCCGCCACAUUGGAUCCAACAUUGCCUACCUUCUAGUGUAUGUCGAUGAUAUCAUCCUUACGACCAACACUCCUGCCACCCUACACUCCAUCAUUGCUUCACUCAAACAGGAGUUCUCCAUGUCGGAUCUUGGUGAGUUGCAUCAUUUUCUUGGCAUAAAUGUUACUCCCAACUCCUCCGGCUUGUUUCUCUGCCAGCAACAGUACACCCUCGAGAUUCUAGACCGCGCCAACAUGCUUCAUUGCAAACCAUUGUCCACUCCUGUUGACACCUCGACCAAGCUCUCUCUUCACGAUGGUCACAUUCUCUCCAACCCUACAUACUACUGUAGCUUGGCUAGCACACUUCAAUACCUCACCCUCACCCGCCCGGACAUCUCCUAUGCCGUCCAACAAGUUUGCCUCUUUAUGCAUGAGCCGCGUGACACUCGUAUGCAACUGGUCAAACGGAUACUACGAUAUCUCCAAGGCACUUCACACUAUGGCAUUCAGCUCUACGAGUCACCAUCUCAUGACCUCAUUGCCUAUACUGACGCUGAUUGGGCAGGUUGCCUGGACACCCGCAAGUCCACUUCGGGGUUUUGUGUCUUCCUUGGCAACAACAUUAUUUCUUGGUCAUCUAAAAGGCAGCCUACCGUGUCACGAUCAAGUGCUAAAGCUGAAUACAGGGGUGUUGCAAAUUGUGUUGCUGAAUCUUGCUGGCUUCGGCAGCUCUUGCACGAUCUCAAGUGUCCGCCGACCCGUGCCACUGUGGUGUAUUGUGACAAUGUUAGUGCCACCUAUCUCGCCUCCAACCCAGUACAACACCAACGGACGAAACAUAUCGAGAUUGAUCUACAUUUCGUCCGAGAUCGUGUGGCUCUUGGCGAGGCUCGUGUGCUUCAUGUUCCUUCGAGCUCACAAUUUGCUGACUUGUUCACCAAAGGCCUUCCUUCUCAAGUGUUCCAUGAGUUUCGUGCCAGCCUGAACAUCCUACCGCACGGAGUUCCGGCUGAGGGGGGUGUUAAACCACACUCAUCUCUACUCCUAAUGUCUCAGUUGGUAGUCUGCGUUCCAGGUUUAUUUUCGUCCCACCAUUUUCGUUCGGUUUUUUUCGUCCUCCCUCCCACCUCCCAAUUUCGUUGGUUUUUUUCGUCGGUUUUUUAUUCGCCCCCUUCCACUGGCAGGACAAACCUAACGUUUAUUUGGUAACACAAUGAAUUCACAUAUGGUGAUUGAUUUAUUCUUUGGUAACCCAACUAACGAAUGGUAAUCAAUCUUUAAAUACCAAAACCAAACGUACAAGGCAAGAAUCAAUUCUUUUUUUCUGACCGAUUAUUUUUCGUCCCCCCUCCCACCUGCCUUUUCGCUUCACCGCCCACAUAAACCCAUCGGAUUAGUUACCAUAUAAAAAAUUUAAUCACAAUCAAUCAAGCAUUGAUGGGAUAUUUCCUUACAUUGAUGUGAUUCAUUUCUUAUCAUGAAUCAUACACGUCAAAAAAAGGUACGACGUGCGAGGAUCAUGGGCACAUGCCCUACAAAUCCGAAAAUGCCUAUAAAAAUUAAAUCAGAAUCAAUCAAGCAUUGAUGGUAUAUUUUAAUUGCUUUGAUGGGAUUUUUGUACACGGUACCAUUAACGCGAUCCUCCCAUCGCUGCCCUCCUCACGAGCAUGGACGGCCGAUCCUCUCGACGCCUGCCCUCAUGUGUCCUCGUGACACCAUCAUCUUCUUCUCUCCGAUCUCCUUGACUAGGAGGACUCCUCUGUGCCCUAGGCCAUGGCCGACGCUGGCGACUCCUCGGUACUCCGCCCGCGCCUUCACAUCCGACGCAGGCGAAACUCCAGCUGAUGCCACGGGAUCCACAUCCUACGCUCGGCGGCCAUCUUCCACUCCGGCUGCUGUGUGGUGCCGCCGCUGCGGGAGGCAACCUGGCAGGAGCAGACGUAGCCGUCCUCGUGCAGCCCGACCCAUGCGUCUAGCUCGGCAUCGAAGUAGCCUCGGCCUCUGAAAGGCAGCAUCCACUCCCCAUGGCGCCUCCACUUGCAGCUCCUGGUGUCGACGGAGUACGUGCCGCAGACCGCCCUGCUCCACGAGGACACGAAUAUGGUGCGCCCAUCCGGGUGCAGCGCGUAGGAGAAGAUCAUCUUGUCCUUGGUGAAGGGUGUUGGCAUGCUUUUCCAGGACCAGUCGAUGGGCAGCAGGUCGUCGUCUUCCGUCGGCGGCGGCUUCCCCAUUGCCUCAAAGGACACAGGCCGCUCCAUGAAGUGGAAGGCAAACGCGAACAUCGCGUCACCGACGCCGGAGGUCAGGAAGGUGUUGGAGCCACAAAGCAGUGCCAGUGCGUCUGGAACGGGAGGGCCGACGGCCAGUCCGACGGUGUCAGUGUCGUAGAAGAGGGUACCGGCGUGUAUGUUGCUCGUGGUGAUGAUGUAGCUGCCCAGGGCUGCGAACUUCAUGGCACGACCACGCUCAGGUGACACUAGUCAGAGGACAGGGGGCGCUGAGGUCGGGACUGUCGACAUCGAUCUUGCGGAUGGUGAAGCCCUCGUGCCAGUCGUCUAGAACCAGAUAGAGGCUCUUCUCCUUGUUGCCGCUGCGGUCGUGGUAGUAGUUGGGCUCAUCCUCCUCGCCCUGCCUUCUUCGCUUAGACAUCCCGCCCCCGACUGACUGAAUUAGUGAAUUCUGAAGUAUAUACCAGAAAAAACACGUACGCAGACGAAAACGCUCGAAUAGAUUGGACGUAGCUGGCUAACCACGGUUGAUGUAGUAUCGAUCUACUAGAAGCAACACGGAUACGCGCAAGCAAUUGAUACACACGGGCAUGCCUCGUGCCCGCUGAUCUUUCUAUUGGUCUCCGGGUGUACUGUUUAUAGGGGUGCAGGGUAAUACGCAUAUAUAGCUAUAGCUAGGACUUGCAACAUAACCGAUUCAGGACAGAACUACUGAUCCUACUUGGUGAUGGAUUCCUGCACAAGCCGGACAUGAGACGUGCUUUUUUUCUUGAGGGAAACGCCGCCGCAGCCGCCGCCAGCGAGUAACCCUAGGGCAGGGCGCUAGAAUCCCUAGAGCAGGGCGGGCAGCAAGGAGCGACGCAAGGAGGCCGUGUCGGUCGUUCCCGCCACCAACGCUAAACCCCAGGUAUUUACGUUCCGUGUCCUCCCCGCACUCUACGCUGAUACAUCAGCGAGGAGCUGACGGUGGAAAUGCUACUCCUCCCCGAACUCUAUGAUGCUUGAUUCGAUCUCGUGGUGUGGAGCCAUUAAGGUGGGCAAGGCUAUUGAGUUUGCUCCUAACGCCGACUUGGGCGAUGGGUGGGACGAAUGCGAGCAACGACCAACAGCGGACAUGGAAUCAAGCCAGCACAGGUCCACGGCAGAGCAGCGCACGUGCUGGUCUUCACUUGGUAGGCGACAGCAGUUCCUGCAUCAAGGUAUGUGCUCUUUUUUACAUUCUUGUCAUGUCUGAUUGAGAAUCGUUGUAUUAGCUCAUGGGCGCCCGUACCAGCAGUCCAGAUUUGAUUCGCGGCCAGCUCGGGUGUUGUGGAGCACAGGGAAGGAGGAGAAGGAGGGCAGGUGUUUACAAUUCGGUGCCAAGGGAGAUAAUCGAGAUGGUGGCGCAGAAUUAGAGGAUGCUAGGUGACCAGGUAGAGGAGAGACAUCACCCAACGCCCAUCGAUGCAGUGAGGAGUGUGGUGUUCUACAGUAUGGUAAUUGGUAAAAGUUUUUGGUCCUAUAAUAUCAGUGUGUGUGUGUGUGUGAGAGAGAGAGAGAUAAUGCAUAUUACAUAAAAAUAACGCUGAGAAUUUAGAUGUAUUGUUUGUCACGGAGCUGUGGCUGGCCGAUUUACAUGAAAUAAAUUCUCUUAGUUGCGGUGGCAAAUAUAAUACACAUAAUCCAUAUUGUUAUGCACUAGCGUGUGUGUGUGAAAUAGAUGGAUUAUGGUCCCAUACCCAAUAAGAUGGAUAUGUGUGUGUGUGUGUUAGAGAGAGAGAGGGAGAGGGGGAGAGAGAGUGAGGAAGUGGUACGGAGAGAGAGUGUGUGUGGGGAUUUGAUGGUAAAAAAGGUCACCAAUGUCAUUUGAUAUGUAUGAGAAUAUUAAAUGUAAUAUUAACAUGAUUAAUAUUGAACUUUUAAAGUUAAUGUGGCCCCGUUGCAAGCGCAUGAGCGUUUUUCUAGUGUACAUUUGUGUAACAGUCUGAUGUAACUAAGUCUAGUCCUAGAUUGUAGGAUCCACUAACGCUCAUGGCCUGCGUGCCUUGUUUUUAGGAAUGUUAGCUCACUCUAUGUUGUACUUUGUAACAUUGUUGAGCAGUGAAUACAAUUGAGCUCUCCAACUCCCGCUGCUUGAGGACAUCUUGAUCUCAUGACAGGCUCAUUAUCCGAAGGUUCUUGUCCAGGUUUGCUGAAGGACAGCUCUCGUUAAGCGCAUUUGUUCUGGGUCAUCACCGUGUCUACGAUGCCGUCCGCACGAGAGGACACCUUCAAAUUUGAGCCAAGCGGACGUGUCUUUCCAAAAUCAGUGUGCGUCGCUCCGAUAUGCAGGCCAACAGGUGGAUGCACAAUUUUACUCAUGCCAAACUCGCAAAUGGUGCACCGCCCUGCACGUGAAGAAAGAGAUUGUUCAGUUAGUUAAAGCAUUUCACUAUAGUGUUCGAUCUGAAAUUUCAAAGCCCCUUAAUCCAGUUAUAUACAACAUGUUGUGGGCAAAAAAAGAACAGCCCAAAAAUACCAAGAGCGAUGUGUUAAAGUAGUAGUAAUUGCAAGUCGCUUACCAAGAUAUGCAUCAUUUGGGCUGUAGUAAGGCAGGGGACAGCAGAAGGAGACCUCCGAUUCUCUGUCGUGGUAACGAACCCAGAGACUGAAGCACUGCUCGGUGUUGUUGGGUCUCUUCUCCUCCCAAACCUGAGCGAAGAAGAGCAUUCGCGUGCCGUCGGAUGCCGCGGCGAGGAAGUUGAUGUGGUAGCAAUGGGAGGAGAGAUAGGCGCUCUCUUUCGCCACGCCGCAGAUGAUUUCCAGCUCAAAUGUUGGUUCCCAUGGGUGCUGAUCGGCGUAGCCGCGGAGGAGUUGUUCAAGCUCUGUCCGUAGAAACCUCUGCCUCUUCUCCAACCAUUGCUUCCUUGCUGGAAGACCAUCCAAGUGACUUGGUGCUGGGAGUGGGGUGAUGGGAGAGCACCGGCGUCCUAGCAUUUUCUGCAACUCUGUGACGCUGGCAGCAGAGAUCAAAUGGCGCGGCCCUUUGUCUUCUCCGGAGCGCAGCAAGGAGCUCAAGGUGUCCAGAAAUUUCGGCCCUGAGGAGGCCAGGGAUGCGAGGAACGACGAGUGGUGCUCUCCGAGGGGGUGUCUGGCGGCCUCGCUGGCACGAUAAAAGGCUUGGCCGCGUGUCUCCGGCGCCGCCCUCCGAAGCAUGUCAGAUAUGUCGCAGCGGUUGGUGCUGAGGUGCUCCACGGCCUGGUGCUCUGAGAAGCCAGUGGCGACACGGACGGCGGCGACGAGGCCGUCGAGGGAGUGGACCUCGAGGCGAAGCAGGGCGUCUACGCCGAGCACGUCCGGCUCGAUGCUGGGGCGCAACGGGGGCGCGAUGACGCUGUACCAAGCGGCAUGGAUGAUGAUGUUGGACGCGGGGUCCAUGGGGCCGUAGCAGUGCCCGGCGACUAGGAUGCCGCGGAGGACACGCCGGAGCGCGGCGCGGGGCAAGCUGGCGAGCGCCUCGACGUACAUGGCGUGGAUGACGUCCAGGAGCCCCGUCUUGAGGUACUCGAUGUGCCCGCAUGUCGGGGGCGCGUCGGCCACCUCCGCCGGCGUGUGCGGAGUGUGCUCGGGGAUGAGCGCGAGGCUGGAUUCGAGCUUGCGCCGCACGGCCUCGGGAGAGCGCAGGCUGGCGAGGCUGAAUGGCGCGCACUGCUGGAACUGCAGGCCUCCUCCAUGUUGGCCGUUGAGGCGGUAAUGCAAGGUCUCGCCGCGUCCUCGUUGUGUGAAGGUGAGUUGCAGACGGGAGCAGACCGUGCGAUGGCGCAGCUGCGAUUUUAGAACGCCGAGGAUGGCCUCGACGUCAUGGACGGUGAGGCGCCGCCCUUCCUCCAAGGUGGCGAGGACGUCUUUCAUGUCGUCGGCCGUCUCCUGGAGCGCUGGCUGGCAGAGCAGCAGGAGGUCGUCGGGCAUGGGGUGCUUUGCUUUGAUGGCAGCAACGGCGAGAGCGAACUGGGCUCGUUCGCGGAGGAGGUCUGGGUGGCGGCCGACGGUGGCCUGAUCAACGGCCCCUUCGACGGCGGCCAACUGCUCGAGCUCGGCGAUCCGGAUGGCGACGAGGAGGUCCCCGCCGGAGAGGUGGAGGUAGAACCGAGCUUGGUCAUCGUUGAGGUACCGGAAGUACGUGUGCAUGAAGGCGCGGAGGCCAUUGUAAGAUCUGAAGGCGAUGGACCCCCAGUUGCUCACAUGCCGAGGAUCCGGCGGUGGCGGGAAGCGGUCCUCCUCCGGCGGCGAGUAGGCGCCGCUGCGGCGACGGCAGAGGAGGGUGAGGCCGUUGAGGAUGACGUUGGAGGCGGGGUCGAGGAGGCCGACGCAGUGCCCGCCGCGGUAGAGGCAGUCGAAGAGGUCUGGCAUCUCGUGGACGGGGAGCCGGCCAACGGCGUCGACGUAGGCGGCCUCGAUGGGGGCGCACGGGUCCGCCGCCCACCUGCCACGGACGAAGUCCGUCCACCUGUCGUCGCCGUGGAAGCACGAGAGGCGCACCAGCGGUGCGUCGUGGGCGUCGGCCAUCGGGCUCGGUUGCCGCCUGACGAAGUGGCGAACGAUGAACGCCGCCGCCUGAUGGAUCGUCGUUGGUUGAGAAACACUUGGAGGUAGCCAAGCCUACGUGCGCAACGAUGAACCUCCCUUGGCGCCAAGACCUGUGUAUGCGUGUAGUACAUAUAUGUAUGCAGCUGAUGCAGUACGUGGAGAGGGCCCGAUCCGACUCAGACUGGAAUCUGAGGAAGUCGGACGGGAAGCGAUCUGAGCCCGACGACUCCGACUCCAAAUAAGUUUCCAACGGCAAUCUAAAAUGAAGGAACUCACAACUAGAACCUCAUAGCGUCAAGGAUGCAUCUGCAGCACUGAAUUCAGGGGCCCACAUGCCAUAGAACGUCCCCCUAAGUCCAAGAUGUUAUCAGGUUUUCAAGCAGCCAAACUUUUUUAAGCCUACAUACAUGUUUCUACCCCCAGGCCCCGGCCAAAACGGAUAAAAGGCCAACCAAAUUCAGGGCACCCAAGCACCAUUACAGCAAAGCAGUAAACUGCGGACUCAACCAAAAGGCCACGCGAGGGAGGGAGGAGAAGACGCCACAGCUAGAAUCCGACGCCAUGGAUUUCGUUGCCCCAUCCCUUCCUUCCAUCAACUACUACAGCGAAGCUACUCCAUGAUCUGCAUCGCCAACGGGCUGCCGCCCGAGAUGAAUGAAUCCAUGGUUCUAGUGCCAGGGUGACCUUAAGUUCUUGAGUAGUAGAAUAGAUCCCUCAACACUCCACCAGGUAGCCCCCCACCAUCAGAUGCCAAACCUGU
rnacentral:lncRNA from 1 species